rnacentral:rRNA from 1 species
GGAUGAACGCUGGCGGCGUGCCUACUCCAUGCAAGUCGAGCGAACGGCCGAGAAGCUUGCUUCUCUGAUGUUAGCGGCGGACGGGUGAGUAACACGUGGAUAACCUACCUAUAAGACUGGGAUAACUUCGGGAAACCGUAGCUAAUACCGGAUAAUAUUUUGAACCGCAUGGUUCAAAAGUGAAAGACGGUCUUGCUGUCACUUAUAGAUGGAUCCGCGCUGCAUUAGCUAGUUGGUAAGGUAACGGCUUACCAAGGCAACGAUGCAUAGCCGACCUGAGAGGGUGAUCGGCCACACUGGAACUGAGACACGGUCCAGACUCCUACGGGAGGCAGCAGUAGGGAAUCUUCCGCAAUGGGCGAAAGCCUGACGGAGCAACGCCGCGUGAGUGAUGAAGGUCUUCGGAUCGUAAAACUCUGUUAUUAGGGAAGAACAUAUGUGUAAGUAACUGUGCACAUCUUGACGGUACCUAAUCAGAAAGCCACGGCUAACUACGUG